UUUCCAACAAGGAGAGAGAUGUGUAGUACGAUAGUAAGUGCUAUUACUAUCAAAUAGGUUAAUUUAAUAAGUAUCUGCUUGUUUUAGUGGUUCUGGCUCAUCUAUAGUUUCACCUUCUCCCUGAUUCAUCAAGUUACAUUUUUCCUAAUAUCCAUAGCAAGAGCUCUCCACUGUUAUUGGAAAAUACUGAAUACAUAAAGGAACCAGAGAAAUAAUCUGAACUCACCCAUGAGUGGUGUACAGGUACUGUUAAUCACCAUGCAUUCUAUUUUCUUCCCCUUUUUCAAUAAUAUAUUUUCUUUUGCAUAUAAUUAAUUUGGCAUGAAAAUGAAGUAAUUAGCUUUGGUAUUGUGGGAUUACAUUUCUGUGGUUUUCUACCAGCUACUACUUUUUCAGCUAUGAAAAUUCAAUCAAGUUGAAUGCAUGUCUAAUUGUCUUUGAAUUGUGCUUCACAAUACCUCCUUAAUCUUUGCUUGCUUAUUUAUCUACUUUAGUUUUCUGUUUUAUCGUUUUGAUUUUAAUGGCUCAUUUGGGCUGUUGCCUGUUUAGUAUUUCUCUUGGCAUGAUUGUAGAAAACAAACAGCUGACUGAGUGGUCUUGUUCUAAGAUGCAUUUGGUUUAGCAUAUGCACUUAUAAUUGCCUUCAUUAUCCAACUUUACCAAUACCCAUUUUCCUAUUUCCUUAAACAAUUUCACAGCAUGUUGGGAUUAUUAUUAAGCUAGCUACAUUAUUUCAAAUUAUGAAGUCAAAAUAAUUUACUAAAAUAGUAAUUCACAAUCUAAUUUUGUUAAGCAGCACAACUCUAAUACUUAUUAACUGGAAAUCAAACCACAAGACGUGAUUUAACCUUUAAUUCACAAUCUAAUGGCAUUCAGUUUCUCUAACACCAAAGCAAAAAAAUGCGCCCCAAUUGAGCACUCUAGUCCUAAUACUUCUUUUCUUUUGUUCAAUUUCUAUAAAUCAAAAUAAUAAGGGCAAAUAAAAUCAGUUAUUCUGGUACAACACGCAACAAGAUAAAUUUACUUUUGACACUUAGUGCCACUUAUCUGCUUUGACUCCAUUGAAUUCUAAUCCAACUUCACACUAUCAUACAAUGAUUGGAUGGCUAGAGUAGGAAGAAAUGAAAAAUAACUACAUGCCCAGUUCAAUAGACAUAAACAUAAAACCAUACAUUGUGGCUAAGUGUUGCACAAUUAUUGUCUAUGAAUCUUCCAUGUCCACAAACCUAUGUUUUUUUAACAACCGGUGGUUUUGUGAUUCCAAACUGUAGAGAUCAUUGUCUAGUUUUCUCUUGCUAUAAGGAUCGGUGAAUCGAAUAUCCUCCAUGAAAUUUUCGUGUUUGAAUAUAUGGAUUCCAAUUUCUGUACAGGUUGACAAGUUUAUACCAUCCAGACAUGUAACCACUGCAUGGUUCCAUUCAUUUUCAAAAGGCACCUCAUAAGGACUGUUUGUAAAUUCUGUCUGUCGUAGAUCAAAAAGAUAUGUAUGAUCUGUAUUCAUACACAAGUCAAAUCUACCAAGGGAACAUUUAUUGCCAUUGAUGAACACCACAGGAUAAAAAAAAUUAUAGUCCUUAUCCUGAUGUGCAAUAACAAGACAGAAUUUUCAAAUAACUUAUUACGAAACCAGAAAGAAGUUAAAGGUUCCCUGCUUUGGUGAUCGAAUCACUCUGGAAUCCUUGUUCCUGGC
rnacentral:lncRNA from 1 species